GCCUUCGUGGUGUAACGGUAGCACACUCGACGCCUAUUCGAGAGGUCGAGGUUCGAGUCCCGGCGAGGACA
rnacentral:tRNA from 1 species